AAAAUAAUCCUACCCUUUGUGAAUUUGUUUGUUUGAAUAAUUUUUUUUUUUUAAAAAAUUAUUGGAGUCUUUCCCUUUAGAGUUUGCUUUUGAGUUUGUAAAGAAUUCGAAAACAUCUAAAGGGGAUGGUCAAUAAUUUUUUUUGAAAAAAGACAUUUUUUUAAAAUUAAACUUUUGUAUUCAUUUGUCUAAAAAUUAUUUUUUAUAAUAUAAAAACAACUUUUGACAAUGGAUCUCUUGGUUCUCGCAACGAUGAAGAACGCAGCAAAAUGCGACAAGUAGUGUGAAUUGCAGAAUACGUGAAUCAUCGAAUCUUUGAACGCAUAUUGCACUUUUUUAGUUUACUAAAAAAGUAUGUCUGUUUGAGUAUCAGUAAAAUAUUCUCAUAAAAAUCAUUGUGUAUUUUUAUGGUUAUGAGUGUUUUACAACGAUACAAGUUGUUUCACUUUAAAUUUUUUUUUUUAAUAUUGAAAUUUUUCUAAUUUUAAUAAUUAAAAUUGGAUAAAAAUUUUUCCCGUCAAAAGGAAUAACCUAAACAAUUUAAAUGAUUAAUUUUAGCAAAAUUUUCGUAAAAAAGGAAAAUUUUUAUUAAAAUAACUUGAUCUCAAAUCAGAUAAGAGUACCCGCUGAACUUAAGCAUAUCAAUAAGCGGAGGAAAAGAAACUAACAAGGAUUCCCUUAGUAACGGCGAGUGAAGCGGGAAGAGCUCAAAUUUGAAAUCUUCAGGUUUUACCUUGACGAAUUGUAGUUAAAGAAGUGUUUUCUGCUGAAGUUUUGGUAAAAGUUCUUUGGAAUAGGACAUCAUAGAGGGUGAGAAUCCCGUAUUUUGACCAUUAUUUUCAGCUUUGUGAUACACUUUCAAAGAGUCGGAUUGUUUGGGAAUGCAGUCCAAAAUGGGUGGUAAAUUUCAUCUAAAGCUAAAUAUUGGCGAGAGACCGAUAGCGAACAAGUACCGUGAGGGAAAGAUGAAAAGAACUUUGAAAAGAGAGUUAAACAGUACGUGAAAUUGUCAAAAGGGAAGCGUUUGACACCAGUGUUGUUUUCUCGAAAAUCAAUUAAAAAUGGCUCAUCUUGUAUUGCUGAGACCUUAAAAGCUCACUGUACAUUUUCGUGUCUUUUUAAUGCACUUUUCGUUUAACAAGUCAACAUCAGUUUCUUUUGUUGUAAAAGGGUCAUUGGAAGGCGGCUUUCUUUCGGAGAAAGUGUUUAUAGCCUUUGGCCUCUGCAAUCGGAGAGACUGAGGUCUGCAGCGUAGACUCUUCGGGGUUAGAUACAUUUGUGCUAAGUUAUAGCUUUUUAUAGACAACUUGUUGACUAUAAUUAGUCUUGUAGCUUACUCGCUUAUGCUAUUUUACCUACGCUUAGGAUG
rnacentral:misc_RNA from 1 species